rnacentral:rRNA from 1 species
GAUGAACGCUGGCGGCGUGCUUAAUACAUGCAAGUCGAACGGAAAGGCUCCUGCUUGCAGGGGUACUCGAGAGGCGAACGGGUGAGUAACACGUGGGGGAACUGCCCUGCACAUAGGGAUAAGCCUGGGAAACUGGGUAUAAUAUCGGAUAGGACGAUGGUUUGGAUGUCAUUGUGGAAAGAUUUUUCGGUGUGGGAUGAGCUAUCGGUCUAUCAGCUAGUUGGUGGGGUAAUGGCCAACCAAGGCGUCGCCGGGUAGCCGGCCUGGGAGGGUGUACGGCCACAUUGGGACUGCGAUACGGCCCAGACUGCUACGUGAGGCAGCAGUGGAGAAUAUUGCACAAUGGGCGCAAGCCUGAUGCAGCGACGCCGCGUGGGGGAUAACGUCCUUCGGGUUGUAAACACCUUUCGCUGGGGACGAAGCGCAAGUGACGGUACCUGGAGAAGAAGCACCGGCUAACUACGUG